rnacentral:rRNA from 1 species
AUUAGAUACCCUGGUAGUCCACGCCCUAAACGAUGUCAACUAGCUGUUGGGGCCUUCGGGCCUUAGUAGCGCAGCUAACGCGUGAAGUUGACCGCCUGGGGAGUACGGUCGCAAGAUUAAAACUCAAAGGAAUUGACGGGGACCCGCACAAGCGGUGGAUGAUGUGGAUUAAUUCGAUGCAACGCGAAAAACCUUACCUACCCUUGACAUGUCUGGAAUCCCGAAGAGAUUUGGGAGUGCUCGCAAGAGAACUGGAACACAGGUGCUGCAUGGCUGUCGUCAGCUCGUGUCGUGAGAUGUUGGGUUAAGUCCCGCAACGAGCGCAACCCUUGUCAUUAGUUGCUACGAAAGGGCACUCUAAUGAGACUGCCGGUGACAAACCGGAGGAAGGUGGGGAUGACGUCAAGUCCUCAUGGCCCUUAUGGGUAGGGCUUCACACGUCAUACAAUGGUCGGGACAGAGGGUCGCCAACCCGCGAGGGGGAGCCAAUCCCAGAAACCCGAUCGUAGUCCGGAUCGUAGUCUGCAACUCGACUACGUGAAGUCGGAAUCGCUAGUAAUCGCGGAUCAGCAUGUCGCGGUGAAUACGUUCCCGGGUCUUGUACACACCGCCCGUCACACCAUGGGAGUGGGUUUCACC